GCCAACCCGUACCCGGUCGAGCCUCGGUGGAAGCGUGCCGCGAUCCGUUCGAAUGAAUUCUGCUUGGUGAUUUGAGGAGACCGUGCCUGACCGAAAGCGCAAAGACGAAUGCCACGGGCUGCGUCUCUGUCGCGGUUGACGCGUCAUUGUUUUUCAAGGUCAAAGUUGAAGAGGGAACGCAAGAGAUGCGUCUCGUGAAUGUUACUUGGGAGGGAACAGAUACACACACGUGGCCAACCCGUACCCGGUCGAGCCUAAGUGGAAGCGUGCCGCGAUCCGUUCGAAUCCAUUCUGCUUGGUGAUUUGAGCAGACCGCGCCUGACUGAAAGCGCAAAGCCAGACGAAUGCCACGGGCUGUCGCGGUUGACGCGUCAUUGUUUUUCAACGGCAAAAUUGAAGAGCGAACGCAAGAGACGCGUCUCGUGAAUGUUACUUGGGAGGGAACAGCAGUGAAAAACAAUGACGCAAGAGACGCGUCUCGUGAAUGUUACUCGGGAGGGAACAGAUGCACGCGGCCAACCCGUACCCGGUCGAGCCUCGGUGGAAGCGUGCCGCGAUCCGUUCGAAUGAAUUCUGCUUGGUGAUUUGAGGAGACCGUGCCUGACCGAAAGCGCAAAGCCAGACGAAUGCCACGGGCUGUCGCGGUUGACGCGUCAUUGUUUUUCAACGGCAAAAUUGAAGAGCGAACGCGAGAGACGCGUCUCGUGAAUGUUACUUGGGAGGGAACGGGUGAGCUGUCGAGCACGUGUUGUUUAUGCUCUU